AAUUGACCAACUAGUAAACCCAUGCUAAGUAAAUUAAUUCUGGUCACUAAUAAUCGUCAGAGGUUGGCCCAUCAUCACAUGAGCAUAAUUCUACCUUUGUCACUACAAUUUUUCUUCCAUUACUUUAUAACAUUUAAAUCCGUUCUUGCUCGCUUUUUUGUUUUCUGUCGAAAACCCAAAAUUCAUUAUCAUUUUAAUUAUCUAUUUGACGCUUUCUUGCGGUCCUAAUGUAACUCAAUUGCCUAAAUGUCUUGUGUAUUAUACCCAUUCUUUUGUACAGGUGGACUUAAUCAUAUUGACAAUCUUGAGAGGAACCAUAAAGUCAGACCUUCUCCAUUAAAUUCGUCUCCUUAAAACACGACUAAUGAACAUCAAAUACAUCAGUCCAUUAGAGUAAAACAUCUUUUAAGUGUAUAGAGAUUUUCUCCAAUAUGGCAAUUGUCCUGUUUUAGCAUAUGCAACACCACAAGCAUUGCACAAUGAUUUGUUUCCUUCGGGUCCUCUUCGAACACAAAAUGUUCCUGUGCCCAGCACGUUGCACCAACGACAUCUCCAUCGGGGUCGUUCCUGUUCCAACAGUGUUUGUGCAUCCGACACUGAAGCACUGGGCAAGUUGGCUGUCUCGCUUUGACUAAGAUUGCCCAGAGCUGCCGCUCGCCAUCGUUCUGCCGAAACAUCCGCCGCAAAUCCUCCAAACUUAGAAGCUUCACGACGCCAUUGUUUCACCAAAUUCUCUCGAUUGUUCUCAUUCUUUUUGGCAUCUUCAAGGGAAACUGUUUCCAGCACUGGUUGCCAUAAUGCACCCAAAGUAUCCAUGUCCUGACGAGGUCCAGCCUUCGUUCCAGGAACUGCAUCACUGUCGUAAUCUGGCAAAUCACCCUCACAUGCAUUCUUUUUCAACUUUAAAAGACAUUCAUGGAUUGCAUAGGCAAUUUCUGGUCGAGAUUCCCCAGAAAGCCCCAAAUCGUUGCAGGUUAAUACACUAAAUUCCUCAGGUGUAAGAGGACUCGUUAAAUUCCAUUCCACCUGAUCAUUGUAGCUUAACUGAGCAAGUUGAACUUGGAUAUUGAAUACAACGAGCAUUUCCUGCCCCUUUGGCAUAGGCACCUCAGCCACCGGUGCAUACUCUUCGAUUUGUGCACGAAUACUGGAACUAAUUUGCGUUCCAUAUACAUUCGUAGAUAAAUCUAAAUCGGCACACAAGAUUUGAGCAAACACAUCCGGUGUCAUUACUUGCUCGUUCAUGUUCCAUAAAAACGUGUCCUUGAGUCGAUAAUUGUUGGGCAGUUCAAUAUCCAGCCGUAUUGGUAUGUAUACAUCUCGUUCUUCUGCAGCGCAUUUAAGCUGUUCGUCUGUAACGUAAAUAUGUCUUGUUUUAGUCGCGAAUCUUGGAUAGAUGUUGUUUCCGGUUGGUCUGCCAACUGCCAGCCCCCGAUCAUCCGUUUCGAACUUUUCCUCUUCUUUUUCUGGAGUUUCUACUGGCGUUUCAAAAUCCUCACCUUGUUCGAAUGCGGCGUAAUUAACCGCUGGAACAUUUCUCAACGAAUUUCUGCCUGUAUACGAAGAAUGCGACCUAGUCGAUACUGCAACAUUUUUUUGGAUUAAGCAUGUAUUUCCCGUUUUCAAACGAGAUGAGUAUGUGGUUUUACAAGCUUGAGCCAUGUAAAUUGUGAAGUCGGUAGUUUGCACAAGUAUGCCAAAAAACACUAUGUAAGCCGCAAGUCAAUUUACAGUUGGAAGUACUAUGUUAUGUUUUUAUUUAUUCUAUAUGAUUGUAUUAAACGUAAAUUAUAAUCGAGAGUUCUUUUAUCGGCCCUGAUUUGGUAGAACCGUUGAUAAACGUUUAAUACUUCUACAUUGCCACUGGACUUUCGAAUCACAGAAUUUUCAAGGAUAUCUAUACAAAAUAAAAUAAAAAGUUAAUUUAGUAAAAUAGUUUGACUCCUUUCGAUUUCAGAUUCUCCAAAACAAACAGUUGCUGAAGGACAAGUAAGGAUGGUUGGGUUAGUACGACAAUAUUAAGGCAAAGAGUUUAUUCCUGCUUUAUUUUAAGGAU